UCAUUGUUAGCAAAGAAACGGAGUAACUGGCUUUUGUUUGUAUUUUUUUAUGUCGUAAGCUGUCGAAGAUCCAGCGCUGUAUGAUACACACACUCUUUUCACAGACGCACCGCUGUCAAGUUUUUUCAACAGCUCAAAUUUUUCUUUCAUAGACAACGUACGAUGUUUACGUUUUACACCACGAGAAGCACUUCAUUUAUGCAUUGGAACCAUGGCUGGAGCUAAAAGAGAAAAAGGGAUAUAUCCUGAUCCUUGGAAUCCCGCUAAAGAGUAUCCCUUGUCAAGAAGGACAGCCUUUCUGACCUUGCUAAGAACCUCACUCACUUCAACAUCUUACAGGCAUAAAGCCCGAUAUUUUUGGUGAGGGAGCAGUCGCUUA